rnacentral:rRNA from 1 species
AACGAACGCUGGCGGCGUGUUUAAGACAUGCAAGUCGCACGGGAUCAUUUUGGUAGCAAUACUCGAAUGGUUUAGUGGCGCACGGGUGAGUAACAUGUGAAUGACAUGCCCUAUAGUGGGGAAUAGCCCAGGGAAACUUGGAUUAAUACCCCAUGGUCUCGCAAGAGUAAAGGUGGCCGCAAGGCUGUCGCUAUAGGAUUGGUUCGCACCCUAUCAGCUUGUCGGUGAGGUAACGGCUCACCAAGGCUACGACGGGUACCUGGUCUGAGAGGACGAUCAGGCACACUGGAACUGAGACACGGUCCAGACACCUACGGGUGGCAGCAGUCGAGAAUAAUUCACAAUGGGGGCAACCCUGAUGGUGCAACGCCGCGUGGAGGAUGAAGGUCUUCGGAUUGUAAACUCCUGUCAUCUGGGAGUAAGACCUGGCCGUGAAUAGCGGACAGGGUUGAUAGUACCAGAAGAGGAAGGGACGGCUAACUUCGUGCCAGCAGCCGCGGUAA